rnacentral:rRNA from 1 species
AUUGAACGCUGGCGGCGUGCCUAACACAUGCAAGUCGAGCGGUAACAGGUGUAGCAAUACAUGCUGACGAGCGGCGGACGGGUGAGUAACGCUUGGGAAUCUGCCUGUUAGUGGGGACAACCCGGGGAAACUCGGGCUAAUACCGCAUACGCACUACGGUGGAAAGCCGGGACCGCAAGGCCUGGCGCUAACAGAUGAGCCCAAGUCGGAUUAGCUAGUUGGUAGGGAACGGCCUACCAAGGCGACGAUCCGUAACUGGUCCUGAGAGGACGACCAGUCACACCGGAACUGAGACACGGUCCGGACUCCUACGGGAGGCAGCAGUGGGGAAUAUUGGACAAUGGGCGAAAGCCUGAUCCAGCGACGCCGCGUGGGUGAAGAAGGCCUGCGGGUCGUAAAC